GUGCUCACUUCAGCAGCAUAUGUACGAGAACUGGAAAGAUACAGAGAAGAUUAGCAUGACCCCUAUGCAAGGGUUACACACAAUUUGUGAAGCAUUCCAUAUAAGA
rnacentral:snRNA from 1 species